UGGCUCAGGACGAGCGCUGGCGGCGUGCCUAACACAUGCAAGUCGAGCGAUGAAGCUUCCUUCGGGAAGUGGAUUAGCGGCGGACGGGUGAGUAACACGUGGGUAACCUGCCUCAAAGUGGGGAAUAGCCUUCCGAAAGGAAGAUUAAUACCGCAUAACGUAAGAGAAUCGCAUGAUUUUCUUACCAAAGAUUUAUCGCUUUGAGAUGGACCCGCGGCGCAUUAGCUAGUUGGUGAGGUAACUGCUCACCAAGGCAACGAUGCGUAGCCGACCUGAGAGGGUGAUCGGCCACAUUGGAACUGAGACACGGUCCAGACUCCUACGGGAGGCAGCAGUGGGGAAUAUUGCGCAAUGGGGGAAACCCUGACGCAGCAACGCCGCGUGAGUGAUGAAGGUCUUCGGAUUGUAAAGCUCUGUUUUCUAGGACGAUAAUGACGGUACUAGAAGAGGAAGCCACGGCUAACUACGUGCCAGCAGCCGCGGUAAUACGUAGGUGGCGAGCGUUGUCCGGAUUUACUGGGCGUAAAGGGUGCGUAGGCGGAUUCUUAAGUGGGAUGUGAAAUACCCGAGCUUAACUUGGGUGCUGCAUUCCAAACUGGG
rnacentral:rRNA from 1 species